GGUCAAGCGAAUAAGCGCACACGGUGGAUGCCUAGGCGGUCAGAGGCGAUGAAGGACGUGGUAGCCUGCGAAAAGUGUCGGGGAGCUGGCAACAAGCUUUGAUCCGGCAAUAUCCGAAUGGGGAAACCCACUGCUUCGGCAGUAUCCUGCAGUGAAUUCAUAGCUGCUGGAAGCGAACCCGGUGAACUGAAAUAUCUAAGUAACCGGAGGAAAAGAAAUCAACCGAGAUUCCCUAAGUAGUGACGAGCGAACGGGGAACAGCCCUUAAGCUGGAAUGGCUUUAGAAAAACAAUCUGGAAAGAUUGGCCAUAGAAGGUGAUAGCCCUGUAUUUAAAAGGGCCACUCCAGUGAAGACGAGUAGGGCGGGGCACGUGAAACCCUGUCUGAAUAUGGGGGGACCAUCCUCCAAGGCUAAAUACUCCUGACCGACCGAUAGUGAACCAGUACCGUGAGGGAAAGGCGAAAAGAACCCCGGAGAGGGGAGUGAAAUAGAUCCUGAAACCGUGUGCGUACAAGCAGUAGGAGCUCGCAAGAGUGACUGCGUACCUUUUGUAUAAUGGGUCAGCGACUUACUGUUCGUGGCAAGCUUAACCGUAUAGGGGAGGCGAAGGGAAACCGAGUCUGAUAAGGGCGCAUAGUCGCGGGCAGUAGACCCGAAACCGGGUGAUCUAGUCAUGGCCAGGGUGAAGGUGCCGUAACAGGUACUGGAGGCCCGAACCCACGUCUGUUGCAAAAGACGGGGAUGAGCUGUGAUUAGGAGUGAAAAGCUAAUCGAACCCGGAGAUAGCUGGUUCUCCUCGAAAGCUAUUUAGGUAGCGCCUCGGACGAAUACUACUGGGGGUAGAGCACUGUUAUGGCUAGGGGGUCAUCGCGACUUACCAAACCAUUGCAAACUCCGAAUACCAGUACGUACUAUCCGGGAGACACACGGCGGGUGCUAACGUCCGUCGUGAAAAGGGAAACAACCCAGACCCACAGCUAAGGUCCCAAAUUCACUGCUAAGUGGAAAACGAUGUGGAAAGGCAUAGACAGCCAGGAGGUUGGCUUAGAAGCAGCCACCCUUUAAAGAAAGCGUAAUAGCUCACUGGUCGAGUCGGUCUGCGCGGAAGAUUUAACGGGGCUAAGCAGUGAACCGAAGCUUGGGGUGCGUAAAACUUCGGUUUUAUGCGCGGUAGAGGAGCGUUCCGUANNNNNNNNNNNNNNNNNNNNNNNNNNNNNNNNNNNNNNNNNNNNNNNNNNNNNNNNNNNNNNNNNNNNNNNNNNNNNNNNNNNNNNNNNNNNNNNNNUAAGCCUGCGAAGGUGGAUUGAGAAGUCCGCUGGAGGUAUCGGAAGUGCGAAUGCUGACAUGAGUAACGAUAAUGCGGGUGAAAAGCCCGCACGCCGAAAGCCCAAGGUUUCCUUGCGCAACGUUAAUCGACGCAGGGUUAGUCGGUCCCUAAGGCGAGGGCGAAAGCCGUAGUCGAUGGGAAGCAGGUUAAUAUUCCUGCACCUCGCGUGAGUGCGAUGGAGGGACGGAGAAGGUUAGGUGUACCGGGCGUUGGUUGUCCCGGGGAAAGGCGGUAGGUUUGGAUCUUUGGCAAAUCCGGGAUCCUUUAAGACCGAGCACCGAGACGAGCCUUUAUGGCAAAGUCACUGAUACCACGCUUCCAGGAAAAGCUCCUAAGCUUCAGCUCACGAAGACCGUACCGUAAACCGACACAGGUGGGUAGGAUGAGAAUUCUCAGGCGCUUGAGAGAACUCGGGUGAAGGAACUAGGCAACAUGGCACCGUAACUUCGGGAGAAGGUGCACCCUUUUUGGUGGCUCAUGCGAGCUAUAGCUGAAGAGGGUCGCAGAAACCAGGCCGCUGCGACUGUUUAUCAAAAACACAGCACUCUGCAAACACGAAAGUGGACGUAUAGGGUGUGACGCCUGCCCGGUGCUGGAAGGUUAAUUGAUGGGGUCAGCCGCAAGGCGAAGCUCUUGAUCGAAGCCCCAGUAAACGGCGGCCGUAACUAUAACGGUCCUAAGGUAGCGAAAUUCCUUGUCGGGUAAGUUCCGACCUGCACGAAUGGCGUAACGACAGCGGCGCUGUCUCCACCCGAGACUCAGUGAAAUUGAAAUCGCUGUGAAGAUGCAGCGUUCCCGUGGCAAGACGGAAAGACCCCGUGAACCUUUACUAUAGCUUUACACUGAACGUUGAGUUCGUCUGUGUAGGAUAGGUGGGAGGCUAUGAAACUGUGGCGCUAGCUGCAGUGGAGCCAUCCUUGAAAUACCACCCUGUCGUGCUUGACGUUCUAACCUAGAUCCGUUAUCCGGAUCAGGGACCGUGUAUGGUGGGUAGUUUGACUGGGGCGGUCUCCUCCUAAAGAGUAACGGAGGAGCACGAAGGUACGCUCAGCGCGGUCGGACAUCGCGCACUGUGUGCAAAGGCAUAAGCGUGCUUGACUGCAAGAUCGACGGAUCAAGCAGGUACGAAAGUAGGUCUUAGUGAUCCGGUGGUUCUGUAUGGAAGGGCCAUCGCUCAACGGAUAAAAGGUACUCCGGGGAUAACAGGCUGAUACCGCCCAAGAGUUCAUAUCGACGGCGGUGUUUGGCACCUCGAUGUCGGCUCAUCACAUCCUGGGGCUGUAGUCGGUCCCAAGGGUAUGGCUGUUCGCCAUUUAAAGUGGUACGCGAGCUGGGUUCAGAACGUCGUGAGACAGUUCGGUCCCUAUCUGCCAUGGGCGUUGGAAGUUUGAGAGGGGCUGCUCCUAGUACGAGAGGACCGGAGUGGACGAACCUCUGGUGUUCCGGUUGUCACGCCAGUGGCAUUGCCGGGUAGCUAUGUUCGGAAGCGAUAACCGCUGAAAGCAUCUAAGCGGGAAGCGCGCCUCAAGAUGAGACUUCCCGGGGCACAAGCCCCCUAAAGGAACCAUAUAGACUAUGUGGUUGAUAGGUCAGGUGUGUAAGUACAGCAAUGUAUUGAGCUAACUGAUACUAAUGAUCCGUGCGGCUUGACCAU
rnacentral:rRNA from 1 species